rnacentral:rRNA from 1 species
AACGAACGCUGGCGGCAUGCCUAACACAUGCAAGUCGAACGAGAAGGUCGGGUCUGGAGGCGCACGGGGGGGUGAAGGGGGGGAAAAUGCCCGUAGGUUCGGAAUAACACCCCGAGAGGGGUGCGAAUACCGGGGAAUGUCUUCGGACAGAAGAUUUAUCGCCUGUGGAGGGGGCCGCGUUGGUUUGGCGAGGUGGUAGGGUAAAGGCCUACCAAGGGGACGAUCCGUAGCGGGUCUGAGAGGAUGAUCAGCGAGACUGGGACGGAGCCACGGCCCAGACUCGUGGGGGAGGCAGCAGUGGGGAAUAUUGGGCAACGGGCGAAAGGCUGAUCCAGCACUGCCGCGUGAGUGAUGUAGGCCUUAGGGUUGUAAAGCGCUUUUAACGGAGAUGAUAAUGACAGUACCGGGAGAAUAAGCUCCGGCUAACUCCGUG